GGCCUUGUAACUCAACUGGUAGAGUGUGCUCCGUAUAGAAGCGUAGGCGGUGUCUGUGCAUAGGUUCGAAUCCUACCGUGGCUA
rnacentral:tRNA from 1 species